CAUGGCUCAGGAUGAACGCUGACAGAAUGCUUAACACAUGCAAGUCAACUUGAAUUUGGGUUUUUAACUUAGAUUUGGGUGGCGGACGGGUGAGUAACGCGUAAAGAACUUGCCUCACAGCUAGGGACAACAUUUAGAAAUGAAUGCUAAUACCUGAUAUUAUGAUUUUAAGGCAUCUUAGAAUUAUGAAAGCUAUAAGCACUGUGAGAGAGCUUUGCGUCCCAUUAGCUAGUUGGAGAGGUAACAGCUCACCAAGGCGAUGAUGGGUAGCCGGCCUGAGAGGGUGAACGGCCACAAGGGGACUGAGACACGGCCCUUACUCCUACGG
rnacentral:rRNA from 1 species